CGGACGAGAUCUACGCACAAGAAACGGAAGGCAAUUCCCGAGGGGGAGGCAGCAGCAGAGGCAGACCCAGGACAGCCUCCUGCAGAAGAUGAGGUGUGAAAUGAGUCUUCAGGGAAGCCAACAGAAGUGAGGAGGGAGCUUUGCAGCUGGGAGAGACGUGAAACGUGACCGGAGGCUUGUCUAAGAGGAUCAGCGGAAGGGCCCAGAGUCCGCAGGUCUUUCCAAGCCAAGCAGAGGACUUCACAGACUGAGAGUUCUGAAAGCUGCUGAUACUGUCUCCUCUGCUGAUGGCUUACGGGACUCUCAGUACUCCAAGCUAUUUUGCCCUAGGGCCAAGGGCUUCACCACAGUGCAAGCUUGAAAGGGCCAAGUGCUAUAGACUUCUGGACCUCACAGUGGCCUGGUGCCAGGGCCUGGGACUUCAAAGGAAAGAUUCCAGUGGCCCUCCAGCCCUCACUCAGAGCUUCUCCUGAGAGUAAAUCUUUACCAAUGGAUGGAACACCAGGUUAUCAAGAGGGAUGCCCAAAUUUCCACUAAAUUUUGAAGUCAAAAAAGUGUUUCCAUAAAAGGUGAAACAGGCACUCAUUGGAACGGUUUCCCCAUAGCCCCACUUUUUUGAAAUGUAGGAUGUUUUUACAUGAUGACUUAAGAUGUUUUUCCCCCAUUAAAACAUAUGAUAUGAGGUGAUUGUGCAUUUUGUUUGUAAAAAAGAGGAAGGAGGGGACCUUAACCCUCUGAAACUGCAAAUGCAUUUUGGAAGACACUGCAUAUUUAUUAGUCCAUCUGCUACCAUAGCAUUAGAAGAGGAGAAUCUUACUACAAACAAUUUAUUCACAGCUACAGUUUUUACCACCUGAUGUGCAAAGUAACACUGCUUACUAAGCAUUUAUUCUUGUGCUGAGUAAUUUUCUAGCUUAAGGAAGACUGAAAUGCAAUAUCGCUGCUAUGGCCCUGGCCUGGCUUUAUUUAGAGUGAUGGGUUUCAUUGGGCUGAUCCAUUGGGCAAAUUGUUGACUGACUUGAUCUUCGGAGAUUUAUUUUGAUUGAUCAAUAAAUGGACAUUUAUUCAGCACUGACCUACUGUGUGCUGGACAUUGUGUUAAAGAAGUCAAUGAUGAGAGCUGUGGAUGUAGCCAGACAAAUACUCUUAAGCAGAAAGUGUAAAUGUUUGAAAGGUGAAUUGGAAAAAGAUUCUUUUGGGUGGUAAUAGUGGCUGCACAGUGUUAACCCUGAAUGGCAUCAUUCCAUAAGCUGAGAUUGUCUCUCAGCUUUGUUUUGUUUGUUUGGGUUUGUUCAUUUUAAUUGUUGGCAAAACAUCAAUCGUGUGUAUCAACGUCAUUUAAAAAAAAAACCCAAACCAUUAAAUAAAAACCUUUAAGAGAUAUGAGGCCCAUAUGUCAUCUUGGGUUCCUUUUGUAUACAUGUUUAUAUGUAUGUGUACAUUCAAUAGAAUAGAGCAGGGACUGUUUCACUUUGAUCUUUGUGUCCCUUAAAACCUGGCACACAGUAGCUGAUUUUUUAGAAAUGUUUGGGUCGUCCCAAUGAGCUCUGUAGCAGUUAAAAUUAGUUUCUCUGCUAGAAGUAUUAUAUUUUAUGAGGUUUAUUAAAGAUUAAGAAUUUUUAAAAAUACAAGUAAGAAAGCACGUGCCUAGGAGGGCCGAAAGGCCCAUUCAAUUUCACUUACAUCAUGAGAGACGCAUCUGCUUGGAAGCAGAAGUAGGAAGAGAGCUAGGUAGGCUUUUACAGCCAAUUAAAUAGAAAUUUUGAUCUCGCCCAGGUGAGGAUCUCAGUGAGAUUAGAGGGCAUCCUGGGAACUAGAGCAAGGACUUCUGGGGAUUGAAGUCUGGCGUUCAAAGCUCCAUUUUUACAGCUUCUGGAGGGCAGGAGCUACUUUUCUUUGGAUUUUGUGUCCUCCGGGGUUUAGCAGAGUUCCUGGAGUAUGACAGUUGUCAAAUAAAAAAUUUUGAUUCAUUUA